GCUCAACUGACUGAGCCACCGAGGUGCCCCUGGCCUUCUGUGAAGACUUGUGCAGAAGCAGACUACUACCGUGGGUUUGGAGCAGAAGGACAGCAACUGGGCACCAUCCCCGACCCUCGCUUGGCCCAGGGGAGAGAAGGCUCGCCAUGCAAGGACCACUUGGGCUCAGACAGUGGGCGUCUCAAGUGCCAUCCGUGUGGCGUGAAGAUUCCCACCCCACGGAGAAGCUCUCCUAUCCAGCGGACAAAGGACCAAGGACAAAGACCACCACCAUCCUUCCAAGCGUGCCUGAGGUUGGAUAUCUUACCCUCUUGGCAAAGGGCGGCUCAUAAUCAAAUUUUAUUUGAUUUAGGAAAAAUACUGACGGUUCUCGUACCUGAGUGUUAUCGAAUAAACCCAUGCUUGAUA